UACGGAGGAUGCGAGCGUUAUCCGGAUUUAUUGGGUUUAAAGGGCGCGUAGGCGGGAUGCCAAGUCAGCGGUAAAAAUGCGGUGCUCAACGCCGUCGAGCCGUUGAAACUGGCGUUCUUGAGUGGGCGAGAAGUAUGCGGAAUGCGUGGUGUAGCGGUGAAAUGCAUAGAUAUCACGCAGAACUCCGAUUGCGAAGGCGGCAUACCGGCGCCCUACUGACGCUGAGGCACGAAAGCGUGGGUAUCGAACAGG
rnacentral:rRNA from 1 species